UGCCUAGAAUAAUCCCAUUUUUGGCUCAUCCGCCCAAAAUAAUCCCAUCUUACGAUUAUUUUUGAAUAAUCCGUCUUUUGAUAUCAAUCCGCUCAAAAUGGUCCCAGGUGACUGGUAACCUAUUAAAUAGGUUUUUUUUUGGGUUUUAAAGUACAUGUGUCACCACAUGAUUCAUCUAAAAUUAAAAAAAAAUGAAUUAAAAAAAAAGAAACCGCCAGCCCGGCCAGCCAUUCCCUAGCCCCAGCUCAACCCUUGAAGCCGUCGUUAACCGGAGGGGCGAAAAACGUUACCGGGGACGGGGAGUGGGUCUGAAAUCUAGACGGGGGAAGAGGAGGCAGGUCGAAAUCGGGGCGGGGAAGGGGACGGAGGCCGGAAUCAGGACCAAGAAGGGGAAGGGGAAGGGGACUGGGAUCGGGACGGGAAAGGGGAGAACUGGCCGGAAUUGCGACGAGAAAGGGGAUAAGUGGCUGGAAUUGCGAUGGGAAAGGGGAUAAGUGUUCGGCGCGGCGUUCCAGCGCUGGUAGGCAGGCAAGGGGUCGGGCGGGGAUCGGAGAUGAUGUUAUGGCUCGCCGGCGGUGCUUUAGACGUUGCUUGGGUUUCGUGAGGGAGAGAGGCGGAUUGGUGGUUCAGGGGAGGGGUUCAUGAGCGUUGCCAGCGCUGGCUCUGACGCUGGGGUUAGGGGUCUGGGUGGCUGAAGCCACGGGGCAAGGAAGGCUUGGGCUGGUGGUGGUUUUUUAAAUAAUUAAUUUUAUUUAUUUUUUCUUUUUAAAUAAUUAACUUUUUUAAAAAAAUUAUUCAUGUCAAAUAACUUGUUAUGAUUAGUUGGAACCAUUUUAAGCGGAUUAGAUAUAAAAGUCGAAUUAUUUAAAAAUAACCUAAAGGAGGAAUUAUUUUUAACGGACCCUUGCAUGCAAUUUUUUCUUUUAACAAAAGCCCUUCGAAUUUUAGCGGCACUUUCUUACAGUAAUUCUGUGUAAAAUGCUGAAAUUGUGUUCUAAUGGCGUCCAAUUCCGGACCCAUUUCUCUCUCCACCUCAAACGCUUGUUUCUAUACUCAACAUCUACUGCAACUGAAAAAUCUCCCUCUUCUAUGAUGGAUUUCAUGGUUAAAUCUCUGGGUUUUUCAAGGGAAGAAGCAGCUAUUUCCUGGAGUAAGGUGAGUAACUCAAACGUAUUAAAUCCACUCAAAACCCUCAUUUAGUUGUUGAUUUCUUGAAACAACGAGGAUUUAGCAAUACCCAGAUGAAAAGACUUGUAUUUUCUUUGCCAAAUUUGCUGAAAUGUAGUGUUGAUAGAACCCUAAUUCCCAAAUUUAAAGCUUUAGAAGAAUUGGGUAUUUUUGGUUCUGAUUUAGCUGAUAUUGUUGCUUCAAAUUCUUCUAUUUUAAGAAGGGAUUUUACCAAUCGGAUUAUACCCAUGAUUAGUUAUGUGAAAUCAAUUGUGGGUGAUGACAAAAAAUUCUUCAAACUUUUGAAGAGGUCAUACUGGUUGAUGACUGUUGAUAUUGCUGCAGGAUUACAGCCUAAUAUAGAGCUGUUUAAAAAGUAUGGUUUCACUAAUGAAAGAAUAUUGUAUCUUUUAGUUCAAUAUACUGAGAUUUUUGGGCAUGAUCCUAAAAGGUUUAAAGGGAUUUUAAAGAGGGUCCAUGAGGAGUUUGGGAUCCCUCCCAAGUUGUCCCAGUUUUCUGAUGUUGUUGUGUUGCUAGCUUCGUUGAGUGAGAAAACCCUGGAAACUAAGUAUGGGAUUUUUACGAACUUUGGAUGGACUGAUUCUGAUAUUAAGGUUAUGAUGAGGAAGAACAACCGCGGUGUUUGAUGUUGUCGGAGAAAACAAUUCGUGUGCGGUUGAAUUUUUUCAUGAACGAGUUGGGAUGCCAACCAGAGUACUUAGCAAAUCGUUCUUAUGUGAUAUCAUAUAGUAUGACAGAUAGGGUUUUGCCCCGCUAUACUAUAUUAAAGGUCUUGGAAGAGAGGAAACUUAUCAAUGUUAAAGUGGAAAUGGUGACGGCUGUAUGCAGCUGUGAGUCUUUAUUCUUAAACAAGUUUGUGCUACCCUACAAAAAUGAGUUACCUGAGCUCUGUACAACUUAUAUUUGUUGGGUAAAAAGGACUUCUACUACUUAGAUGAGGGAAUUUUGACUGAUCAACUGACCUGCUUUAAGAGCUGUCAUCAUUUGUUUAGGGGGUGAAGAUACAAAGAAGGAAUGUUGCUCUAUUCUUCCUAGUUACGAGUAGAACAGAAAAAUGAAAAAUUCUGUUUGAUUUUCAUUUUUCAAGCUAGGGUGGCUAAUAUAAGAAGCUUCAUCAAAAUAAUAUUCAUGCCAGAAAGGUGUGGUAGCGCUGGCUAUCAUUAAGAAUUGAAGACACUUUUAGCAAAUGGUAUAUGACUAUAUGAGGUGGAGUGAACCUCCAUUCUGGUUAGUGGUAGUGUUGCAAUCUGUCAGCUGGUGGUGAUUAGAGGAACAUUUUUGAACACUUUUGUGAUCUGUAAAUUUUUACUCUUAUGUUACUGUGUAUCAGAGUGGCUGUUUAAGAAAUUACUUGAUUCAACUUCUCUCUAAAGUUAUACAAAAGCAUUGUCAUAUUGAUUGAGGAUUGAGAACCUAACCAAUUAUUAGUUAGGAUUCUCCUGAAGAAGACUAGGGGUCAGGUACCCUAGAUUCUUCUCUGCCGAUUUUUGAUAUUAUAACAUGAUCUAUCUUGUAUUUCUUCAGGGCCAGCUGAAAAUUUUUAUUAUUUUUGCUGAAACUUGUUACAGGGAAUGUUGUGAGAUAUAAUACAACAUACUUUGUGUUUGAUUCUAUGAAGAGAAGAUUGAGGAAUAGUAAACUUUUGUGUGCUGCUUACUGCUGGAAUUAUGUUUCUGACAGUGGAGAUUCUACAUGGUCGCUGUCCUUCAGCAAAGAGAAGACCAUCGUUGUGGACUUGAUUACAGAUAUACGGAGGAGGUAGAACUAGUCUUAUCUUCCAGGUAAUCUCCACACCCUGUUCUACGAUAUUAUUUAGCUAAACUGCUAGUGUUAGUGUUACC